AAAAAAAACCCCGCCAUCAUGGCGGGGGUAGACAGGGGUAUGUCUAUGGCAAGGAAAACAGGGAUAAUGUGUUA
rnacentral:ncRNA from 1 species